rnacentral:lncRNA from 1 species
UGGUUUAAGCCUUUUGCAUGAUUUAAGAAACAACCUAUCCUUAAUGCAAAGCCAUUCACUUGAUCAAUUGAUCAAGAUGAAUUAGAUUUGGAUCAAAGAAGAUUAAGUCUCCCUAAUCAAUGCUAACUUAUCAACCUUCAACUCAUUGAUCAAAAAAGAAAAAAGAGAAAAAAGAAGAAGAAGGAGAUGAAUAAUGGAAAUAAAAAUGGCAAAACUUAAAAUGCAUUAAAUGAAGUACAAUGUAC